GAGUCAUUUAGGUAAUAUUUCUGAAUGUAGGCAAACGCGACUCGCGCAAAGUGGUUCACCGAGAUAUCACUGGUGGAACAGAUGUCUAUAUUAAACUAGGGCUACAGCCAAUGUAAGGGACUUUACACAAUGCGAGGGAAUAACGAUAGGAACAGCGAUAAGAAUAAUAUCGAAAUAAGCGAUCAUCUCGCAUUGCACAAUGCCGUGAAAGAAAUAAAAGCCAACCAAUCAGAUCGCGUGUGAACAAUCUAUUCUUUCGUCUGCUUCAGAUAAACGUUUUUGUUGACAAAUUUUGAUAAGUUUCAUAAUAUUUGAACUGGAAUAUUACAGAAAAAUUUCUGAAACGUAUUCAUAUACAUUAUUCUACAUAUUAUAUUUUCACGCAAAUUAUAGCUGCGUUUCG